rnacentral:rRNA from 1 species
GACAGAGGGUGCAAACGUUGUUCGGAAUUACUGGGCGUAAAGCGUGUGUAGGCGGCCAUGUAAGUCGGGUGUGAAAGCCCCGGGCUUAACCCGGGAAGUGCACUCGAUACUGCGUGGCUUGAGUAUCGGAGAGGUUGGUGGAAUUCUCGGUGUAGAGGUGAAAUUCGUAGAUAUCGAGAGGAACACCGGUGGCGAAGGCGGCCAACUGGACGAAUACUGACGCUGAGACACGAAAGCGUGGGGAGCAAACAGG